ensembl:snRNA U7 U7 small nuclear RNA
UAGUGUUACAGCUCUUUUAGAAUUUAUCUAGCAGGCAUUCUGUUUCUUGCCGAAAAUCCCCC